GCUGGCGGCAUGCCUAACACAUGCAAGUCGAACGUGAUCCUGGGCUUCGGCUCGGGUGAAAGUGGCAGACGGGUGAGUAACGCGUGGGAACCUGCCCUGUGGUAGGGAAUAACCGCGGGAAACUGCGGCUAAUACCCUAUGUGCCCUUCGGGGCAAAGAUUUAUCGCCAUGGGAGGGGCCCGCGUCGGAUUAGGCUAGUUGGUGGGGUAACGGCCCACCAAGCCUUCGAUCCGUAGCUGGUCUGAGAGGAUGAUCAGCCACACUGGGACUGAGAUACGGCCCAGACUCCUACGGGAGGCAGCAGUGGGGGAUAUUGGACAAUGGGGGCAACCCUGAUCCAGCAAUGCCGCGUGGGUGAUGAAGGCCUUCGGGUUGUAAAGCCCUUUCGGCGGGGAAGAUGAUGACGGUACCCGCAGAAGAAGCCCCGGCUAACUUCGUGCCA
rnacentral:rRNA from 1 species